AAGUGUAGUGCGCGGGGCUCCGUCAUGGCGCCGCGCUGACGUGUAUAACGGUAGAAGGCCUCAGCCCGCGGGCGGCCGGCGGCGAAGUCCCGCUUCAGACCCCCGCGCGGGGAAGCGCAUACCGGCUCUGGGGGAAAAACUGCGCGCUGGGCGUUCUUCGGGAGGAGCCGUGUCAGGCGUGUGUGGUGUUACUGCUAGUCCAAGGUCGGGCCCCGCGUGACCUCGUUCUCUCUGGGGGCAGGCCUGUCUCUGCAAAUCCUGAGGUGCCUGCUGUGGAGGAAUCGGGUCUGGGGCCUACACGGGCUUCGUAAAAGAGGCCAAUGUCAGUGAACCUGGAGUGUCCCCUGAGACCCAGUCCUCUGGAUCGGCUCAGAGGCGGGAAAGCUUUUGGAAGAAGAAGGUCCACGUUUAAGUUUUGGUUCCAUUCAGAGAUCCAUAAUGAUAAAUAAAUGCACGUGAACUUCCAUCAUCUUCAGGACUUUUGCGCAACUGUCCCAUGUGGCUGUUAGAGCAUUUUGCCUCUCUUCCCCCAUCACAACAUAAACCCAUCAGUCCCCUGUAGCCCCGAGUACAUCCACAACAUCUCAGUUAUUCUGCUUCAACAAUCUUUUGAAUAAAACCA